GGCUUAACCGGGGAGGGUCAUUUGGAAACUGGGGAACUUUGAGUGCAGAAGAGGAGAGUGGAAUUCCACGUGUAGCGGUGAAAUGCGUAGAGAUGUGGAGGAACACCAGUGGCGAAGGCGACUCUCUGGUCUGUAACUGACGCUGAGGAGCGAAAGCGUGGGGAGCGAACAGGAUUAGAUACCCUGGUAGUCCACGCCGUAAACGAUGAGUGCUAAGUGUUAGGGGGUUUCCGCCCCUUAGUGCUGCAGCUAACGCAUUAAGCACUCCGCCUGGGGAGUACGGUCGCAAGACUGAAACUCAAAGGAAUUGACGGGGGCCCGCACAAGCGGUGGAGCAUGUGGUUUAAUUCGAAGCAACGCGAAGAACCUUACCAGGUCUUGACAUCCUCUGACAAUCCUAGAGAUAGGACGUCCCCUUCGGGGGCAGAGUGACAGGUGGUGCAUGGUUGUCGUCAGCUCGUGUCGUGAGAUGUUGGGUUAAGUCCCGCAACGAGCGCAACCCUUGAUCUUAGUUGCCAGCAUUCAGUUGGGCACUCUAAGGUGACUGCCGGUGACAAACCGGAGGAAGGUGGGGGAUGACGUCAAAUCAUCAUGCCCCUUAUGACCUGGGCUACACACGUGCUACAAUGGACAGAACAAAGGGCAGCGAAACCGCGAGGUUCAGCCAAUCCCACAAAUCUGUUCUCAGUUCGGAUCGCAGUCUGCAACUCGACUGCGUGAAGCUGGAAUCGCUAGUAAUCGCGGAUCA
rnacentral:rRNA from 1 species